AUUGAACGCUGGCGGCAUGCUUUACACAUGCAAGUCGAACGGUAACAGGGUGCUUGCACCGCUGACGAGUGGCGAACGGGUGAGUAAUGCGUCGGAACGUGCCGAGUAGUGGGGGAUAACGCAGCGAAAGUUGUGCUAAUACCGCAUACGUACUGAGGUAGAAAGUGGGGGACCUUCGGGCCUCACGCUAUUCGAGCGGCCGACGUCUGAUUAGCUAGUAGGUGAGGUAAAGGCUCACCUAGGCGACGAUCAGUAGCGGGUCUGAGAGGAUGAUCCGCCACACUGGGACUGAGACACGGCCCAGACUCCUACGGGAGGCAGCAGUGGGGAAUUUUGGACAAUGGGCGAAAGCCUGAUCCAGCCAUGCCGCGUGUCUGAAGAAGGCCUUCGGGUUGUAAAGGACUUUUGUCGGGGAGGAAAUCCCCAGCGUUAAUACCGCUGGGGGAUGACAGUACCUGAAGAAUAAGCACCGGCUAACUACGUGCCAGCCGCCGCCGCGGUAA
rnacentral:rRNA from 1 species